rnacentral:lncRNA from 1 species
UCCAGGCUGAAGCGAUCCUCCCACCUCAACCUCCCACGUGGCUGAGACUACAGGUGCUUGCCACUAUGCCCAACUAACAUUUGGAAUUUUCGUAUACGUGGAUUCUAGAGGGGUGACAGCGAAACGUGGGACCAUCCAGUUGCAGGAAAACAAGCUUAACACGCCCACUGAUUCUACAUUAUGCUCCUACCUCCCGGCAGCCUCUCCAGGCCCAGAACUUUCUCCAGUCAGCCUCUACAGACCAAGCUCAUGACUCUCAAUGGCCUAUUUAGGCCCAUACCCUACGUCACGGCAGCCUCCGCAGAUGAGGCUACUGCCUCACAACAGCCUCCACAGGCACAGCUCCAUCGUUACAAUGGCCUCUUUAGACCCAGCUCCUGCCUCCCAGCCUUCUCUCCAGGCCCUGAACUUUCUCAAGUCAACCUCACCAGGCCCAGCUCAUGCUUC